AGAGCAUCAUUAGGUUCUUUAGGUACUUUUGAACCUGCGCAGGUCCGAUGAGUUUCGGGCCCAUUUCAAAAAAAAUUUUGAGAUGUCCCCCACGCA
rnacentral:sRNA from 10 species